rnacentral:rRNA from 1 species
GACGAACGCUGGCGGCGCGCCUAACACAUGCAAGUCGAACGAGCGAGAGAGAGCUUGCUUUCUCGAGCGAGUGGCGAACGGGUGAGUAACGCGUGAGGAACCUGCCUCAAAGAGGGGGACAACAGUUGGAAACGACUGCUAAUACCGCAUAAGCCCACGGGUCGGCAUCGACCAGAGGGAAAAGGAGCAAUCCGCUUUGAGAUGGCCUCGCGUCCGAUUAGCUGGUUGGUGAGGUAACGGCCCACCAAGGCAACGAUCGGUAGCCGGACUGAGAGGUUGAACGGCCACAUUGGGACUGAGACACGGCCCAGACCUCCUACGGGAGGCAAGCAGUGGGAANAUUGCACAAU